rnacentral:rRNA from 1 species
ACACUCCUGCGGGAGGCAGCAGUGGGGAAUUUUGGACAAUGGGCGAAAGCCUGAUCCAGCAAUGCCGCGUGCAGGAUGAAGGCCUUCGGGUUGUAAACUGCUUUUGUACGGAACGAAAAAGCUCCUUCUAAUACAGGGGGCCCAUGACGGUACCGUAAGAAUAAGCACCGGCUAACUACGUGCCAGCAGCCGCGGUAAUACGUAGGGUGCGAGCGUUAAUCGGAAUUACUGGGCGUAAAGCGUGCGCAGGCGGUUAUGUAAGACAGAUGUGAAAUCCCCGGGCUCAACCUGGGAACUGCAUUUGUGACUGCAUGGCUAGAGUACGGUAGAGGGGGAUGGAAUUCCGCGUGUAGCAGUGAAAUGCGUAGAUAUGCGGAGGAACACCGAUGGCGAAGGCAAUCCCCUGGACCUGUACUGACGCUCAUGCACGAAAGCGUGGGGAGCAAACAGGAUUAGAUACCCUGGUAGUCCCA